UGGUGGUUGGAAGUUAGAGGAGUAGCUGUUUAUGAAUUCUAGACCUGGACAGUCUUUGUCAUUAAAUUGAUAUGUGACCCCAUGGAUGCAAACAGGUUGAAGACAAGAGCUCUCUUUAAUGGAACCUGAACAGUGCCUAACUCCUGUAGAUAUUCACUGAAUGUUAAAUAACAACAGUGAUCAUGUAAUAAUGAUGCCCAAUUCACC
rnacentral:lncRNA from 1 species